ACAUGGUGGCGUGGCAGGAACAUCUGAAUACCUUGAACCAAUAAUUUGGGUACAAUUACAAAAGGGUCCAAAGCUGAAAUGUACUUAUACGAAGUGUUCCUGCAAAAUGUGACAAUAUGGAGGCCAAGGAAUUGCAGUACUAACCCAGACUACAAAUAACCAAUGACCUGUAUCACUGACCAACAACCCUCUCAAUGGAGGCAUUUACCACCCACAUACCAGGUUAGGUUUGGAAAGUUCACUGGCCUCCUGCCAUGAUGGGAAUCACCUGGCCAAAAGUGAGUGACUGUGAACAGCGCUGGCAGUUGUGAGGAGCGUCAACAUCUGUGACAAGUUAGAGAACUAUAUCCAUGGAUCCCAAACAGUGGCUGUUACAAGAAUUUGGCAGUCCAACCAGCCUCACAACCGCAGACCACGUAUAACCACGCCAGCCCAGGACCUCCACAUCCGGCUUCUUCAUCUGCGGGAUCGUCUGAGACCAGCCACCCGGACAGUUGAUGAAACUGGGGAGUAUUUCUGUCUGUAAUAAAGCCUUUUUGUGGGGAAAACGAAUUCCUAUUGGCUGGGUCUGGCUCCCCAGAGGGUGGGCCUGGCUCCCAAGUGGUUAGGCCUAUGCUCUCCCAAGCCCACCCAUGGCUGUGCCCCUGCCCCGUCAUGUGACAUCAAUAGAUUAGGGCCUAGCACAUUUAUUUCAAUUGACUGAUUUCCUUAUAUGAACUGUAACUCAGUAAAAACUUAGAAAUUGUUGCAAUUUGAGGAUAUUUGUUUGUUCAGUAUAAAAGGUGAACUGAUUCCUCCAAAGGGACAGCUUGGCCUCACAAAAACUGUGAAAACAGUAAGUUUCCAGGGCAACCCAUUGGAGCAACGUGUGAGAAAUGUCACCAAACAAAGGCAGGAGUUGGACUCUGUGAGCUCAGACAGAGUGAAACUUUUGUAUGCUUGCCAAUACCUUUUUACUUUCUAGGUCAGCCACACACCAAAUGAGUCCUUUCUCGGUGUAACCUUUGUAAAGUCAAAUAAAAGAAGGGAAAAAGCUUGAUAGAUGAUAGAUGGGCAAUUUACAGUAGCUAAAUAAAAAAUAUAUAUAUAUUGUGUUCAUUUGAUACAUUUGUUAUACAGUAUGUAUCAUCCUCAUUUAUUAUCAUUAACCUCAUUUGAAGACAAUAAAGUUGGCAUAAAAAUAAAAAAUCUACAACCACAUGAGCCAUGCCUGAGUAUGUUGAAUGGUAGUGACCUACCAAAAAAGGAACAUUGUUUCUUCAGAUCUUGCAGGAAGGCCACAGUGCACGACUUGCUAAAGAAAGCGUGAGCUCACUUAUAUCUCCAUCUGCACACUCUUAAAAUGAAAAAUGUUAUAAUUUCCUCCAAAGUUGAUCCAAUUUCUUGUGUUUAGUACAGCAGUGUCGAAUUCUUCAGUUCCCUGGCAAUGUUUUGCACCUGUGUUGAGGCAGGGCUCUCUCAACACCUGGCUGAUCACUCCCCAGGGGCUGGAUUAAGUUUGCAGAAGCUCCAUGCCUGUCCCCACCUGUCCUGCCAUCUCCGCGAUUCUGAAGCUCUACUCAAUUAGAGGAUUUCCCACAAUCCUUCUGUUUAC
rnacentral:lncRNA from 1 species